GAAAGGUCUCCAAAGAAGGAAGGAUGCGCCUUUGGGUUCUCUGGACAGCUCUCUGGAUGUGCCCAGCCCUUGCCCCUGGAGCCUGCCGGCCUUGCACAGAAGUCCAUUAGACCCUGGUUCUUGCCUUUCCCAUUUUUAAAAAAUGCAACAUCCGCCUGGAUUGAGAGGCUUCGGCCCAGGAUCUAAAUAGUUAAAUAGGAUUUGGGGGGAGAAGAAAUAGAGGAGGAGGAGGUGGAGUCAAGCACACUUUUUGCCUUUCCUUUUUUUUUCUCUCUCAGAGUCAAUUUAAUCUCUUUGCUUGUUUAAAAGACCAACUCAAGACCGGGACAGCCCGAAAGAGGAGGAAUGGGACUUUGAAAUCUUGCAUUUCCCAUCCAUCGCACUUCUUCUUUAGAUUGCAAUUUCUUUUUUUAAAGUGUCUUCAAUUUCAUGUUCAGUUUGAACUGGUUCCUGAGCAUCUCUUGAGUUUCUUCCCUAUUUAAUAAACAUCUUUGAAAUUGGAUGUAAGUUGUGUAUAAGCUGCAGUUGUCGAGAUUGUGUCUCGUUCUCUUUCAUGGGAAAUAUUCUAAACUAUGCAUGCAAAAUGUACAUAAUUAAUAUAUAUUUAUUCUGCACUUGGGAUCUAAAAUUCUAUACAUAUUUUAUGUCUACAGUUCAUAGAUAGAGAUAUUCUAUACUAUAUAUAUCACGUUCUGCACAUAUUUUGUGUACAUAAUUCAUAUAUAUUCAUUCUAAACUAGGUAUCUAAAAUUCUAUACAUAUUCUAUGUAUACAGUUCAUAGAUAGAGAUAUUCUACAUUGUAUCUAAAAUUCUUUAUAUAUUCUAUGUAUACUGUUCAUAUACAGAGAUAUUCUAUGCUAUAUAUAUCAAAUUCUCCACAUAUUUUGUGUACAUAAUUCAUAUAUAUUCAUUCUAAACUAGGUAUCUAAAAUUCUGUACAUAUUCCAUGUAUACAAUUCAUAUAUAGAGAUAUUCUGCUCUCUCUCUAUAAAGUUCUACACAUAUUAUAUGUAAAUAAUUUAUAUAUAUUCAUUCUAAACUAGUUAUCUAAAAUUCCAAACAUAUUCUAUCUAUACAGUUCAUAUAUAAAGAUAUUCUACACUAUAUAUAAAGUUCU
rnacentral:lncRNA from 11 species